GGGCCGGUAGCUCAGUUUGGCAGAGCGUCUGGCUUUUAACCAGAUGGUCGGGGGUUCAACUCCCUGCCGGUCCG
rnacentral:tRNA from 1 species